UACAGAGGGGGCUAGCGUUAUUCGGAAUUAUUGGGCGUAAAGGGCGCGUAGGCGGCCAUGCGUGUCUUCCGUGAAAUCCCUCGGCUUAACUGAGGACGUGCGGAAGAAACUGCAAGGCUCGAGUCCGGGAGAGGGGGGUGGAAUUCCCAGUGUAGCGGUGAAAUGCGUAGAUAUUGGGAGGAACACCGGUGGCGAAGGCGGCCCCCUGGACCGGUACUGACGCUGAGGCGCGAAAGCGGUGGGUAGCAAACAGG
rnacentral:rRNA from 1 species